rnacentral:rRNA from 1 species
CCUACGGGAGGCAGCAGUAAGGAAUAUUGGACAAUGCUCGCAAGAGUGAUCCAGCCAUGCCGCGUGCAGGAAGACGGCCCUAUGGGUUGUAAACUGCUUUUGAACUAGAGAAAACCCCCCUUCGUGAAGGGGGCUGAUAGUAUAGUUAGAAUAAGCAUCGGCUAACUUCGUGCCAGCAGCCGCGGUAAGACGAAGGAUGCAAGCGUUAUCCGGAUUCAUUGGGUUUAAAGGGAGCGUAGGUGGAUUUGUAAGUCAGUGGUGAAAGCCGGCAGCUUAACUGUCGAACUGCCAUUGAUACUGCGGAUCUUGAGUAUGGUUGCUGUGGGCGGAAUAUGACAUGUAGAGGUGAAAUUCAUAGAGAUGUCAUAGAACACCGAUUGCGAAGGCAGCUCACAAAGCCAUUACUGACACUGAGGCUCGAAAGUGCGGGGAUCAAACAGGAUUAGAUACCCUGGUAGUCCGCACUGUAAACGAUGAUUACUCGCUGCUAGGAGGUAACUUUUAGUGGCUAAGCGAAAGCGAUAGGUAAUCCACCUGGGGAGUACGCCGGCAACGGUGAAACUCAAAUGAAUUGACGG